CCAAGUGAAAUGGUGCAGACGCUUGUAAUCAGAACGGGGCUUCUGUGUGGGCGCGCCGUCCUGAGGACUCUUGGCCGGCAGGCUGUGAAGGAGGAACGAAGGACGGGGCGGUUGAAGGACGGCACAGUCUCCAGGAAAGAAAAGUGACAAACUCAACAUUAACCGUGUUUCCCUGCUGAUGGUGGCAUUGAGGACCAGCACCUGAGGAGAGAGCCCAGGGCCAUCGAAGGCUACCCACAAGGCCGGCUACCUGACUUCGUUGAUUUCGAUGACCCCUUUUGUGUGUGCUAACCUCCUGGACCUACUGGAUGUUUCUGGGCUUCCCAUAGGCUCUGCAUCAUCUGUGGUGCUUUAUAAUUUAUGUUAUGACCUGGUAGA